UAGCCUGUGAGGGAGGAAGAAACAUUUGCUAACCAGUGACAGAAAUGGAUUCGAAAUACCAGUGUGUGAAGCUGAAUGAUGGUCACUUCAUGCCUGUCCUGGGAUUUGGCACCUAUGCGCCUGCAGAGGUUCCUAAAAGUAAAGCUCAAGAGGCCGUCAAAUUGGCAAUAGAAGCCGGGUUCCGCCAUAUUGAUUCUGCACAUGUUUACAAUAAUGAGGAGCAGGUUGGACUGGCCAUCCGAAGCAAGAUUGCAGAUGGCAGUGUGAAGAGAGAAGACAUAUUCUACACUUCAAAGCUUUGGAGCAAUUCCCAUCGACCAGAGUUGGUCCGACCAGCCUUGGAAAGGUCACUGAAAAAUCUUCAAUUGGACUAUGUUGACCUCUACCUUAUUCAUUUUCCAGUGUCUGUAAAGCCAGGUGAGGAAGUGAUCCCAAAAGAUGAAAAUGGAAAAAUACUAUUUGACACAGUGGAUCUCUGUGCCACGUGGGAGGCCAUGGAGAAGUGUAAAGAUGCAGGAUUGGCCAAGUCCAUCGGGGUGUCCAACUUCAACCACAGGCUGCUGGAGAUGAUCCUCAACAAACCAGGGCUCAAGUACAAGCCGGUCUGCAACCAGGUGGAAUGUCAUCCUUACUUCAACCAGAGAAAACUGCUGGAUUUCUGCAAGUCAAAAGACAUUGUUCUGGUUGCCUAUAGUGCUCUGGGAUCCCAUCGAGAAGAACCAUGGGUGGACCCGAACUCCCCGGUUCUCUUGGAGGACCCAGUCCUUUGUGCCUUGGCAAAAAAGCACAAGCGAACCCCAGCCCUGAUUGCCCUGCGCUACCAGCUGCAGCGUGGGGUUGUGGUCCUGGCCAAGAGCUACAAUGAGCAGCGGAUCAGACAGAACAUGCAGGUGUUUGAAUUCCAGUUGACUUCAGAGGACAUGAAAGCCAUAGACGGCCUAAACAGAAAUGUGCGAUAUUUGACCCUUGAUAUGUAAGUGAUUUUGGAGAUGGAUGUCCUAAUUUAUUUUCAGAGGAGGAAUGUAAGAUGGAUGUUGAGAGUGACCUCCACACCAGGGGCACAGAGGCCAAUGUGAGACAGAGUUUUGCUGGCCCCCCUAAUUAUCCAUUUUCUGAUGAAUAUUAACAUGGAGGGCAUUGCAUGAGGUCUACCAGAAGGCCCUGCGUGUGGAUGGUGACACAGAGGAUGGCUCUAUGCUGGUGACUGGACACAUCACCUCUGGUUAAAUCUCUCCUGCUUGGUGACUUCAGCAAGCUACAGCUAAGCCCAUCGGCCGGAAAAGAAAGACAAUAAUUUUGUUUUUCAUUUUGAAACAAUUAAAUGCUCUCUCCUAAAGAUUCUUCACCUA